UACAGAGGGGGCAAGCGUUGUUCGGAAUUACUGGGCGUAAAGGGGCGCGUAGGCGGCCUUCUAAGUCGAACGUGAAAUCCCCGGGCUCAACCCGGGAACUGCGUCCGAUACUGGAAGGCUUGAAUCCGGGAGAGGGAUGCGGAAUUCCAGGGUGUAGCGGUGAAAUGCUUAGAUAUCGUCAAGAACACCUAUAGCGAAGGCAGCUUACUAGGCUGUAACUGACGCUGAGGCACGAAAGUGUGGGGAUCAAACAGG
rnacentral:rRNA from 1 species